AAAAUUAGAGUGUUCAAAGCAGGCAGAUCCAAUUUUCUGCCACCGAAUACAUUAGCAUGGGAUAAUGGAAUAGGACCCUGUCCUCCUAUUUUCAGUUGGUUUUGGCAGCGCGAGGACUAGGGUAAUGAUUAAUAGGGAUAGUUGGGGGCAUUAAUAUUUAAUUGUCAGAGGUGAAAUUCUUGGAUUUAUGAAAGAUUAACUUCUGCGAAAGCAUCUGCCAAGGAUGUUUUCAUUAAUCAAGAACGAAAGUUAGGGGAUCGAAGACGAUCAGAUACCGUCGUAGUCUUAACCAUAAACGAUGCCGACCAGCGAUUAGGAGACGUUGAAUACAAAACACCACCAUCGGCGCGGUCGUCCUUGGCGUGUCUCGGCUUCACGGCCGGGGCGCGCGAGGGCGGUUAGCCCA
rnacentral:rRNA from 1 species